rnacentral:rRNA from 1 species
GACGAACGCUGACGGCGUGCUUAACACAUGCAAGUCGAAGGGAGUGGCGGACGGGUGAGUAACACGUGAGUACCCUGCCCUUUUCUGUGGGAUAAGCCUGGAAAACUGGGCCUAAUACUCGAUGGGUUGGGAUGGGUUCGCGGCUUGUAGGCUGGUUGGUGGGGUGAUGGCUUACCAAGGCUUUGACGGGUAGCCGGGCUGAGUGGGUGGUCGGUCACACUGAGACUGAGAUACUGCCCAGAGUCGUACGCGAGGGAGCAGUGGGGGAUAUUGCACAAUGGACGAAAGUCUGAUGCAGCGUCGUCGUGUGGGGGAUGAAGGCCGUCGGGUUGUAAACGCCUUUCGCCCGCGGAAUGGUAGUGGGUAAAGAAGCGCCGGCUAACUACGUGCCAGCAGCCGCGGUAAUUC